UGUCUCUCAUUCUCUCUCUCUCAAAUAAAAAAAAAAAAAAGAAAAGGCUGCAACCCUUCCCUGGGGUACCUGCCUCUUCCCAUCCUCCCUGUGUCCCUUACCUUCCCGUAGUGGGGGCAACUCCGAGGUCCUGCCACAGAGAAGCCUCAUGGGUCCCGGAAGCCCACCUGUUGAGCACCCAGCCAGAUGAGCUGUGGCUGCCCCAACCAGAGGUUGGGCACACAUGCAGGCAGAGAGGCAGGUGCCCUGGUUGGAGCUGGUGCUUCAGGUCUUCCAAGGGGUGGGGGUGGGGUCCAACCUCUGGGGGCCAGCCCGCCCUAUGCCUUGCAGGGAGACCACCUGGUGGGGAAGUAUUGUUGUCUGCUGUGUCCGAAGGAGUUCAGCUCUGAGAGUGGCGUCAAAUAUCACAUCCUCAAGACCCAUGCAGAGAACUGGUUUCGUACUUCGGCAGACCCACUUCCCAAACACAGGAGCCAGGACUCACUGGCACCCAAGAAGGAGGAGAAGAAGAGUCUGGCGGGCGGAAAGAAGCGAGGCCGAAAGCCCAAGGAGCGGACCCCUGAGGAGCCCGCGCCCAAGAUGCCCCCCUGUCGGGACGACUGGCCGCCAGGAGGCAGAGACAAGGGGGCCCGGGGCUCCACUGGCCGGAAGAUGGGAGCCAGCAAGGCCCCUGAGAAGUGAGCGUGGUGGCUGGCAGGUGGGUGGGGCCUGGCCCCCACACUGGACACCAGGUCCACUCUGUUGAGGGCGGGGGUAGCUGGCUCCAGCACCUUCUGCUCUCCAGUUCUCCAUCCCCCACCCCUGCCUGUUCAUCUGUCCAGUGGAGGCAGCCAGCCCCUCUCUCCUACCUGAAGGUGGCCCCCCCCCGGUGCAGGCUGUGGAGGGCACACAGGGCUGGGGGUCCCUUGGGGGAGGGCCUGUGGCAGUAACAGACGCCCAGUAGUGUGCAGGGACAUUCACAGGCCUGGCAGAGUCGGGGGCCCCGGGUGGGCAGGAGGAGGGUCUGCAGCUUAGGCCUCAGGGCCACGGGGCGGUGCAGGGCAGGCAAAGGGCCUUCACCGUGUGAGCUCCAUGCCCCGUCUGCUUUCUCAGGCCCAAGGCUUGGGGGUCCUUGGUGACCCAUGGUUCUGGGCUGAUGAGGGCACCUGAGCAGCCUCACCUCUCCACCCGACACUGGACCCCAGCACCCCCAGCUACCUCCCAGGACAGACCCUGAGUCUGACUGCUACCGUGCUGACCUGACAGCCUGCCCCACCAUGGCCUCCCUUGUCCUUCCGCCUCUGGGUCCUCUGCUUCUGUUCUCUACCUCUCCAGGCCUGCCCUCCCCUGCCUGUGCAACCCUCGCUGUGCUUGGGCCCCUGCCCCACUGGCCCCUGUCCGUCAUGGUGGGUGGACUCUCUGCCAUCCCAUCUCCAUGGGUGCUCCCUGCCUGGGGCGAGGGGAGGGUUCUGGUCUGACCUGCAGGGCUGCAGGAGCAGGGGGUGAGGGGGCCACGGUGGAGCACAGCUUUGCCUCCAAUCUCCAGCUUCGCUAAUGCCACUGCUCUAGGUUGGGGCAAGUCCAAUGGGUUAGAGAUGGGCCAAUCUAGGCUCUGGGGUCAGCCUGGGGCCCACAGGCAUGUGGGGUGGGGAACUGGGGCCCAGCCCUGAGGAGUAAUCCCUGUGGGAAUCAGCCUUCUGUCUGCUGGUCUGGGUUGGCUUGUAGCUAGGCUCCCAUGGGAGUCCCCAUCCCCCCUUUUUUACCUGCCCUUUUGUUUCUGGUUGUGUGGUCUUUUGAUAGGAGAGCUAAAGGCCAGGGAGGGAGCUUGGCCAAGGUCACAUUGUGUUGGUGGCAGCUCUGCAGCUCUGUGUUGGGCCCCGAAGGGGAUGGCUAGGUCUGCAGGUUGGCUAGGGUUCAGGCUGGAGCUCAGGGCACCCAGAGGAGGCGGCCACACUGCCUCUGGUCUCCUCCCUGGGCCCCACCUUCCAACUUUGGCAGUGUAGGGAGGAGGGGGAUCCUCAGAGCCCCUGGGUUUGGACAGAGGCUGUUUCCCACUGGGGGGCGGGGGUGGGCUGAGGGCUCGGUCUUGCCGAUCCUGGACGAUGUGAAUUUUGAUAUUUGCCUGUGUGCGUGUGUCUCCUGGGUGUAGUGGAUGCCAGUCUUGUUGCUGUGACAAGUAACAACCUUUUUUUUAUUCUGUUUUUUAUACAAAAACACAACAAUCUGACAUUUUGGUGCUAAGGGUUUCCUGGUGCCGACGGUGGAUCUGGGGACUGAGAGGGUGUCUCUCCCCUGCUCAGGGAGGCAGUGCUGACUGGGCACCUCUCUGCCCCCCCCACCCCCAGCUCCCGUCCUCAUCUAGUCCCAGGAGAGGAGAGGCUCCCAGUCGGGCUCAGCUCUCCUAGCUCUGCAGUAAGGAGACAGGUUCCAGGGGGGCCUCUGGGGCACGUCGUGCUGCCUGUCUCCAGCUUCUUCCUUUGGCCAAAAGGCACUGACUUGGGCAAUCCUGGCCUGAUGUGGUAGGGAGGGGGUGUAGAGACAUGGGCUACCCCCAGUCACACACACCUUGAUUUGAUCAAAGGGUAGAGGCAUGGGCAGAUGGGUGUGAUCCAGUGUCAAAGGUCAAGGGAGGGCAGUGUGGGCAGGGCUUUGGACUGCAUGGGCAGAAGGGUUUUCUUUUCCAUGUUCUGGGUGUCACUAUGGUGUACAGCUGGUGGGGGCAGAGCUGGGGUCAGGCAGCCACUUUAGGGGCAGCCUUGGGCAGGGCUGGCAGGAGCCCUAGGUGCAUUUUGUCCUUGUCACCAGUGGCUGGAGGAGGUUGGACCUCAACACCUCUGCUGGGGACGGCCGUCCGCCCCAGCCUCUCAGGUACUUGGCCCUUGGGGAGUGGGGGGCUGGUUUUUUGCUGGGGGGUGAGUUUCCAGGUCGCCCCCUGAAGUCCACAGAUGGUCCCUGGUUUGGGAACCCCGCCGAGAUGUGUGGGAAGAGGUGGGGUCCUGGGUAACUUGAUGUUUAGCACUUUAACCCCCUUCUUUGUCUUUAAAGUGGGUGUGGGGAGCUGCUGCCAAACGUGGCUGUUGGGUCGGACCCCUCUCUCCCUUCUUCCUUUCCUGCUUCCCAUGCUCUGGUGAGUGGCAGUGGUGAGCUGGUCGGCAGAGCCCUCCUCCAAAGGGGGCAGAGCUCUGGGGGGCUCAGCAGGAUCUGCCCAUCUCCCACUCUGGUGGGCGUUCAGCCAGGUAACCACCUGGCCUUGAUUGACACCUUCAAUGAGAGGGACUGGCGUGGCAGACCCCCCGGGGCAUGAUGGGCACGGACCCUGCCCAAGACCCAAGCCCAGGGCACAAUGCCAGGUCCCUUUCUGAAGAUCUACCUCUGGCCCCGCCCACCCCCUCCCCCACCCUGCCCUGAGAACAGGAAAGGGCCGACUCAAGGGGCUGACACUUCACACAAAAAUAGGAUGCACUUUAUUUGCUUGUGCAAAGGCAGAUGAGGGUGCAUCCUGGUGUGACCAGUGGCCCUCCCAGCCGUAGCCCCCAUCCUGUCCCUCCGGUUCAGAAGGGAGAGAACGGGUGCACCCUGAUCUGCGGAGGGCAGGGCUGUCCCGGUGUGUCCAGUUCGGUGGGCCCCAGGUGGCUUGCCCUGGAGGCCUGGGGUUCGGGGGCCUGGCCAGCACCUCUGGCCCGGCAACCACACAUCCUGUGCUUUGGGUUUCUUGGUUUGGGUUUUUUAAUGCCAGUUCUCCGUACAUAAGUGCAUUUUGAAAGAGAGGUUCCAGCUAUCACUUGUAACCAUAUAUAUACAUAUAUAUUCUAUCUACAAAGUGUUUAUUUGCAAGAUGUUUUGACGGUGAGCUCGGGCCCUGCCCACCUUGUGACCAUCUGUCCCCGGUCCUCGUCCCCGCCUCCCCGGCCCACAGUGGCGUGGGGGUGGGCCAUCAACUGUAUGUAUUAAAUAUGACUGUAUCAAAUAAAUGUUUAUUGAUUUUUUUCCA